CCCUUAGAUGUCCUGGGCCGCACGCGUGCUACACUGAUGCAUACAGCGAGUACUCCCAGCUCCGAGAGGCUGCUGGUAAUCAGCAAUAUGCAUCGUGAUGGGGAUAGAUCUUUGGAAUUAUAGAUCUUGAACGAGGAAUUCCUAGUAAUCGCAGGUCAUCACCCUGCGUUGACUAAGUCCCUGCCCUUUGUACACACCGCCCGUCGCUCCUACCGAUUUCGAGUGAUCCGGUGAAUCAUUCGGACCGCGGCCCCUAGGCAUGCGGAAAGUCUAGUAAACCAUAUCGCUUAGAGGAAGGAGAAGUCGUAACA
rnacentral:rRNA from 1 species